UUCUUGUACGAACAUCAAUUUCAGUGGGGAUCCAGUAUAUAUGUACAUUCUGCAUCCACUCAAUCCCUAUCGCCUGCCAUCCUUAAUUUAUGUGUUUACUCUUUACAGUACUUUGGAUUAUUUACUGUUAAAUAAUCUUAGGACAUUACAUAAAAACUUCAACAUAAACUGUUAAUUAAUUUUGCGGUAGUACAGUACUACUGUCGAAGUAGUACCAAUUUCUGAUUUGUACGUGGGGCCUGAGUUUACUUGGAAUAAUUAACCAUAAUAUUGUAACCAUACUCUUUUGUAAAUGUUGCUGAUUAUUAUUAUUAUUAUUUAUUUAUUUGAAUAAAAAAAAGAGUUACAUGGGAUAAAUAUAGCUGAUUUAUUUGUCAAACCAAUUAAAUCAUCUUAUAUGAACCUAAACUUUACACAUAUUCCAGAACCCGAUGCUCAAGUUUCUUUGUCCUUUAGUUUUCCUCCUUUAUUAAUAAUUUGACAUCUUGAUGCAUUAUUCAUACAAUGGUUAAGAAUUGUAAAUCAUGAUAUAUAUCUUGAUGCACUGUUGAUACACGUUUUAUGAAUUGUAAAUCAUGAUCUAUGGACCUCCUAAAUUAAUUGUCAUUGUAUUUUAAUAUUGCAGCCACAAGCCCGACCAUUUGUGGAAAGUCUUCAGGCAAACGUUCAGCAACCUGGUGCUCAAGAUGAACGUGUAAAGAGACGAGCUAAAACAUUACUAGCGUUUCUGACGGUGGGGAUUCAAAUUGCGGCUUUGGCCGCUGGUUGCGCCUGUUGAACCUAUGGAUAUGUGGCGGCGGGGAUUCAAAUUGGGGCUACGGUCUAUGGUUGCACCAUGUAAUGUGAUCUAUUUCAAGGGAACUGAUGAAGAAGAAGGAAAAGAGUUGCCUUUUCUUAGUUUUCUUAUCUUCUGUUAACAACUCAUGAGGAUAUUUGUUUAUUGCUUGGUUUUCAUGCGACUGUUAAACAAGAAAAUGACAUCUCAAGGUACAAUAGUACCAAACUUAUAGCUUGUGAUCAUCGUGAUCGACUUUCUUGUUGGUAGCUUUUUAUUCGGUGUUGUUCAACUUUUGGGCUCUUAUUUUUCUAUCUCUAUAUAUGUUUUGAUAGUAAGAUUUA